AGGGAAGAGAAAUUAUAACCAACAUUUUUGCAAUAAGCUGAUCUCGAGACUCAUGUCUAAAAUAUUAUGGCUGCAAGGCCCAAAAUUUUCACCAUACACAAUAAAAUAGCAAGAAAUUGCAAUAUUGAUUCAUUAGAUUCUAAAAUAAGACUGUAAGAGUUUUUGGAAAGAAUGCAAAUAUAACAAGGAAUUAGAAAAUUGAUUUCUUCAUAUUUGUUGGCAUAAGAAGCUUUUUACAAUCGUAUAAAAUUUUAACUUCAGCCAUUGGGAUAACACUUAGCAUCAUACUACCAAUUGCUCAGGCUUGAACCCA
rnacentral:misc_RNA from 1 species